CAGCAGCCGCGGGAAUACGUAGGGCGCAAGCGUUAUCCGGAAUUAUUGGGCGUAAAGAGCUCGUAGGCGGUUUGUCGCGUCUGCCGUGAAAGUCCGGGGCUCAACCCCGGAUCUGCGGUGGGUACGGGCAGACUAGAGUGAUGUAGGGGAGACUGGAAUUCCUGGUGUAGCGGUGAAAUGCGCAGAUAUCAGGAGGAACACCGAUGGCGAAGGCAGGUCUCUGGGCAUUAACUGACGCUGAGGAGCGAAAGCAUGGGGAGCGAACAGGAUUAGAUACCCCUGUAUCCUGUCUCUUAUACAC
rnacentral:rRNA from 1 species